rnacentral:rRNA from 1 species
AUUGAACGCUGGCGGCAUGCCUUACACAUGCAAGUCGAACGGUAACAGGUCUUCGGAUGCUGACGAGUGGCGAACGGGUGAGUAAUACAUCGGAACGUGCCCGAGAGUGGGGGAUAACGAAGCGAAAGCUUUGCUAAUACCGCAUACGAUCUCAGGAUGAAAGCAGGGGACCGCAAUGCCUUGCGCUCACGGAGCGGCCGAUGGCAGAUUAGGUAGUUGGUGGGAUAAAAGCUUACCAAGCCGACGAUCUGUAGCGGGUCUGAGAGGACGACCAGCCACACUGGGACUGAGACACGGCCCAGACUCCUACGGGAGGCAGCAGUGGGGAAUUUUGGACAAUGGGCGCAAGCCUGAUCCAGCCAUGCCGCGUGCAGGAUGAAGGCCUUCGGGUUGUAAACUGCUUUUGUACGGAACGAAAAGACUCUGGUUAAUACCUGGGGUCCAUGACGGUACCGUAAGAAUAAGCACCGGCUAACUACGUGCCAGCCGCCGCCGUAA